GUGAACGCCCUCACGGGCUAUACUAUUCCAAACCUCUGUGAACCGUGCCCUUCGGGGCUAUUUUACAAACAUGGUGUAAUGAACGUCAUAUAUCAUAACAAAACA
rnacentral:misc_RNA from 1 species